rnacentral:lncRNA from 1 species
GGGGGGGCGAUUUUUAAAUUGAGAUGAUCUAAAUUUAAUCCCAAUUUGCUUCUAGGACCUUAUGAUCCCUUGAGCUACUUUACAAUCUAGCUUAUAACCUGCUUGAGUUCCUGUCCUGACUUCCUUCAGUGAUGAGUAAUGCCAUGAAAGUGUAAACCCAACAAACCCUCUCUUCUGUAAGUUGCUUUUGGUCAUGGCGUCUCAUCUCAUCAACAGUAACCCUAACUAAGAUGUGCGUCGUGUGAGAAAAUGAAUAUUUUCAAAGGGUAAGUAAGAGACGGCACUGGCAAGGAAAUCUGAAGUACAAAUGUUAUCUUAGUUAGGGUUUCACUGCUGUGAACAGACACCAUGACCAAAGACUCUUAUAAGGACAACGUUUAAUUGGGGCUGGCUUACAGGUUCAGAGGCUCAGUCCAUUAUCUACAAGGCAGGAACAUGGCAGCGUCCAGGCAGGCAUGGUAUAGGCAGAGCUGAGAAUUCUACAUCUCCAUCUGAAGGCUGCUAGCAGAAAACUGACUUCCAGGCAGCUAGGAUGAGGGUCUUAAAGCCCAUACCCACAGUGACACACCUACUCCAACAGGGCCACACCUCUUAAUAGUGCCACUCCCUGGCCUGAGCAUAUACAAACCAUCACAAGUGCCAUACUCCCUUAAUGAUAAUGAUAACAACAGACAGUACUGGAUAGAGGAAUUAAUUGUAUAAUAAACAGAUUUAGCAACAGGAGGUCUGAUCUAGAUAGAGAGAAUCAAGUUAAAUGUGGUGUCUCUCAUGUGGCAUCAGAGGUGUUUGGGCUUAUAGUUCUGGUUUCUAGCUUAACUAUACCCUACUCUGUGGAUGAAGAAGUCUGAAUCCUAGGGCAGAUGUAUUUCUAGUUGGAGCUGUGAUCCCAUGUAACCAUGAGUUCUCACCUUUAUCUAUAGCUUGUCACAGCUGCAACUCUUUGAAAUUCUACAACUCCAAUGAGAAAACUGCAGGUACACCAAUAAAGGAAGACAUGCAGAAGCCCAGGACACUAUUUUGUGUCCUAAAACAGACUUGACACUAUUAAGAAGUGUCUACCAGGUUCUUUCCACCUGAGACCCAUGUUGUCAAUCCGACCCAGUGUUAUAAUUAACAGGUACAACAGGCUUCACAUUCAGAUCCUGAGAGCAGAGCAUGAAGUCAGGUCUACUUCUGGCGUCUGUCUCUGUUUUCCUGGCAGUUGACUUAGCUAUAUUUGUACUUGAUGAAGUUGCUCUUACACUAUUUGAAAAGGCUUCGAAUGGACAAAGCUUUGUUCUGACCUUGUUGAGAAUCUUUUGUAAAUGAACAAAACUUCAGCGCUCAAGUGAAUAAUAGUGCCUAGAUGUCCAAUUCAGUACAGUGAACCCGUGGUUCCAUGAGCAGGCCACUAGACUUAAGCCAAUCAAGAGCUGCCUAGUUGCACUUGUACUUGAAAAAAAAAUCACUGUGGUAGUGCCGUAUUACUUACUGCUGCAGCUUGAUUGGGGAGGGUCACAGUGACGUGGGUGUUGUUCAGAUGGAAUGAAGAAGGCGUUUCUAUGUUUUGUUUUUUUUUUAAGAUUUAUUUAUUUAUUAUAUGUUAGUACACUGUAGCUGUCUUCAGCCACUCCAGAAGAGGGAGUGCCAGAUCUUGUUACAGAUGGUUGUGAACCACCAUGUGGUUUCUGGGAUUUGAACUCUGGACCUUCGGAAGAGCAGUCGGGUGCUCUUACCCACUGAGCCAUCUCACCAGCCCCGCGUUUCUAUGUUUAAUGCAAUUCGGGAGAUAGCUGUGGAAAUGGAGUUCUCGCCUUGAUCUACGACAGGAGUUAGCUAGUCUGCAGGAGUUCAUCUCAGGCUGUAAUUAGUUUGUUCAUUAAGAUUGGGGGAGCUCAAUGACACAACUGUGUGAGGUGCCAUCGAAAGCUACCUGAACAUAUGGUGGAAGGAGAAUGCAAAUUUUGUUCCUGAAAGAGAACUCUAAAACAGCCUGGCGCUGUGCUUUUGUUUCGCUCCCGGUAGUGAUUCCCAGGCUGAGUGCGGGAUGCAGAGCUGGUCCUACUCCAGAGCUCCCAGCAUGCAUUGAUUUUAGAUGGGGGAGGGGCACCCAUGUCUUUACAUGUUACGCAUAAUACAUAAAGAUAAACACAACGCACCCACGCGUAUCCCUAGAUAUCUAGGCACACACACAGAGAAGAAGAAAGACUGUUUCAGACUAGCAAGUGAUAAUUCCUAUGUAUACUUAUUAUCAGUAAUCCUGUCUCUUCUGUGUGUGUGUGUGUGUGUGUGUGUGUGUGUUUUCCAUUAAGUUUUAACCUAACAAGGUUUUGUGUUUGGUUAGAGGAAUAUAUACAAACAUGUGGCUGUAUAUACAACAGGUAUAGCUAUAACUAUAACUACUGUUGUGUCCAACUCUUCCAAGAAUUAAGGCUAAUCACUCACAUAUGGACAUUUUAACUUUGCUUAUAAAAUACAAGCACUUAGACAUAGAGAGGCCCUGAAAUUUGUUUGUGUAGUAGAAGCAAACCUGACUUUUGUAAAUUAAAAAAAAAAACAAAACCAUACCUGAUGUGUAAACGCAGGCAGAAGAAUCAAAUCUUCAGCGCUAUUUUUAAGGGAGCCCAGGGGCUUGGGAGCAUGAACUGAAAGGAAGCAAAACUCAAUUUGGGCCAUUAUUCCAAACCACGUUCAAACCUCUCUGUAUUCUUUGUGUGUCAUCCAGAACAUUCUAAAUGAACAUGUGACAUCUAAGCAUCCAGGCAGCGGGGACAAACAGGUGUGGACAGGACAGAUGGAUCCCCAAGCUUUGUGCAAUAAUGGCAAUUGGUUUACUCUACAAUUAGUGCCAAAGGCUAUUUGUUGACUGUGUUGUGUGCUUAUAACACUGUGGGCUCUUCCUCCUGAGCCUCUCCAGCCAACUUGAUGGAUGACAGGGAAGAGGUGCAGUUCUUCUCCCACGACUAAGGUGUUGAACUGGAAGGCUUUGUAAGAGCACAGUGAGACGAUUUGCACGGCUGUGCCGGAGAGUAACACUGUGAAGGGGCUUUAGAUCCUGUGGUUCUUUUUUUUAAAUCUAAAUGUAAUGUUACACUGCAUGUCUGUGUGUGGCUUUCCCAAUCACUUGAAGGCCUUCACUUUCCAGGAAUAGAAAUCUGUUUCUGUGCAGAACCUAACAUGUUGAUGUGAUUGAAUGGUGUUGAGGGAAACAGAGCACGCAGAGAGCUCGUCCACUCAGGCUCCUGCCUUCAGCCACGGCUGCCAUGAGUGGGUUGAGGAAAUCCUGGUAAGGACGAGGUGUGGCAAUCUCAUGCUUGUCAGAGAUGAUCUGCCCCAAGUCGGCAGAGCUACGGUCUGAAUCAAGUAGCUCUAGCAAGGAUCUAGUGAAGACAAAAUCAAAGACGCAGGCAGGCAGCAUCAUCCAGGGCCUGGCCAAUGAGAGCUGAGAGGAAGAGGUCAGGAGUUACAGGGCACAGUGUUGUCUCAUUUUCCAGACUUCCAUAGACUCUCAGGUGACAGAAAGAGCCCUGCACAUAAGAAUGGCACAUGGAAACACCUACUGAGGUUUGAGGAGUUCAAGCUUCGACCUGAUUGCCUCCUACCCCGUGUUAGUCUCACGAAUGUGUUGACAAAGAGAGUAACCAGUCUUUCUCUGACAGUUUAGGACAACAGCUAUUUUUAAAUGUACUCAUUUUAUUGUUUAUCCUGUGUGAGUGAGGGUGGAGGUAGCAGAGUUCUGCUUUCCCAGAUAGCACCCAUUUGACCUCUCGUCUAGACUCUUGGGACCUUCCCAGAGGGAGGUGGUGAAGGAUGCUCCUUCCUAGUGAGCAUUCUUGCUAGGGAAUGCCUAUUGACUGCCUCAGCCUGCAGUCGACAGAAGUGUAUAGAAAAGAAAUAAAGGUUAGGAUCUCUGCCUCUGUAAACUUGAUAACUUUUUUUUUGAGGAGGCGAGAGGAGGUGCUGUUUGCUUAUGGUUACAUUCAUCCAGGUACCAACUAUUAAUUGUGCCAGAAGCAAUCCCUAAUAAAUAGAACAGAGGCCUCCCUGCCUUCCUGGAGAUCAUGGUCAGAGGAAUUUCUUAGUUCAUUCUACUUUAGUUGCCUGCUCCAAUACCCCCAACCUUUUUGCUUAAAUUACUUCCCCCCCCCCUUAAAAACAAAUGAAGAAUAGAAUAAAAUUAAGCAAGGCCCUGUCGUGUUAAAGCUCUGUUAAUUUUACAAGAUGGUUUCAGCACAUUUACUGGAGUCUGGUGAAGAACUGUGAUAAUUAAAAUUCAGCUAUGCUAAUUAAAACAAAUGAGCGGAGUCUGUUUAAUGUCCUUUUCUCCCCUCACAAUUUUUAAUUUCCUUUUUGCCUGCUCCCGCCUUUGUGGAAUUCUGUAAUCCUCACUGGGGAUUCCUGUUACUGGGGAAGUGUAUGAAGUUCCUUGGCGUGGGGAGCCUGCAGACGUCACUUUCCUUUGCUUCGGUGCCCUUACAGCCACAAGGAGUUUAAACUGAUAAGCCUUCUGAAAUUCGGCCCUUCACAAGUCAUUCUUAGAAAUGUUUAUUUUUUUCAAUAUUUAGGAUGAAAACUAAAUUGCUUGUAUAUUUGUUUUCCCCAGUUCAUCUUGAGAAUAGGAGCCGUAUUUUCAACGGCAAAUCAACCAAAUCAAAACUGCCAAGAACAUGUGUAAUAAGAAGGAAGAUGUGUAAUAAGAAGCCACAUCAAAAUGUCCGCAGGGAUUUCCUCUGGGCUGUGACCUGGGGUUGGUCUGUGUCUUCUUGUCUUUUCCUUGCCUGCAAAUUUCAGGCAGGACCAUUUUAUGAGUUAAAAGAACGGCCCUAACAGUGAGCGCCAGCUGACAUGGUAGGAGGAGCCGUAUGCCAUAGGACUCUGAGGAAUGUUCUCAUGAAUCCUGUCUACCCAGAUUGCAACCUGAAUACCAGAACACAUUGUUUGAAUACAUAAUUCAAGGUCAACGAGAAGGUGUUCCAUUGUAUGAUUUAGUCAUGAGCCACCGCUUGGAGCAUCAUCUUUCUGCCAUUAAUGAGUCGCCUUCUACAGCAGCAGGAUUUGGAAACCUUUGAACUGUUUAGAGGAGAGCCUUUGGGUGGGUGUGUUUGCCCUUUUCUGUGUUAAAUUGCUUGUCUCCGGCAGGCAUUUCCCUAACAAAUCGAGUCCUGGUCCCAGUCUGGCUGUUGAAUUGGGAGCCAUUAAUAACUGGCAAUUUGUAGCUGUCAUAAAGAUGCCGGGGACUUUCCAGAUGGCUUUUCCCGCCUUGUGCCAGUCCCUUUGAUGGGAUUUUAAUCAGCAGGCAUUGGUCGUGGUCCUUGGCCCACAGCAGGGACAGAGGUCACCUGUUUACCAUAGCUUUGGUUUUCUGAUGAAAGGGCAAAGCCCCAGGAGGGCAUGUGCUGGGUAUUUUAGGAGCCAGGGGGAAGAGACACUGGAGUAUAAUAUGAGAAUGUAAACCAAACACAACAACAAAAAGUCCAAUUGAACUUUUAAAAUCACCGAGCUAACUUUGAAGGUAGUGAACAGAAGUUGUGAGCGAGCGUCAUGUGUGCCCUUUGGGUCUGACUCAACACACUAACUUAGCACUGAAGGAGUGCAGAGGAACCUCUCACACUCAACUCUGUUCCUCUCCCUGCCCUCCAAAGCCUCCCACAAGACCUUCUGAAAAAGAGAAUCGAGGUUCAAGAAACCCCCACUGAUAACAAACAGUCUUUCCAAAUAGGCUCAGGAAGCCGCUCCAUAGUGGGAUGUCAGGGGCUGAUCCAAAUUGCCGUCACCCCUGUAUCCACCAUUCCAUCUAAAUGUUAUGACCACUUUGCUUCCUACACAAAUUGGUCUUGCCAAUCACAGAACAAUCACUUCUAUCAACGACGCAAGACCCUCUUCUUCUAUACCCAAGACCCAUGGAAUCCCAGGUGGGAAGCGGGCGUUGUUGGUAAGCUCAACCGUAAGAACCAGUCUGGGUCUCCAAUAAGGACUAUUCACAUCCAGAGAAAGUAUGUCUCAAUUGUCCAACCUCUGGAAAUUGGAGAAAUAGGAGAAUUAAACACUCCUCCAAAGUUAUUACAUCCCUGACAUCCUCCCUCAUAAAUGGCACUAACUUGUCAUUUCACCUUCUGUUUCAGACCUCAGCCUACCAAUUCCUUAAUGUCACCCAACCUGGUCACUUCAAAGAUUGCUGGCUAUGUGUACCCCCUGGAAGUAACUUACAAUCACCUCUUACAGCUUCUCUAGAGAUGCUGCCACACAACCUCGCUUCACCUUUUAUCAGCUGCCCUGACUCCGAUGUUGCCAUGACUCCAUACCUUUUCUCUAUCUCUCUUUUCAUGGCAGACUAUUUUAGGACAUCCGGGACACACUCUGUAGGAACGCUAAGCUCCCUAGACUGUAUCAGAAUCAUAACCCUUGAUACCUCACCUCUGCCACAGUGCCCUGAAGACCAGAACACGCCAAUUCUCUCUGGUACUCAGGUCUAUCAUCAUUUACCUGCAAGCUGGGCAGUAGUUUGCACAUUGGUCUCUUUUUUCCAAAUUAGGAGUAAUCCACAGGGAAGAGCCGCUACCAAUCCUGGUGUGGACUCAAUAGCUGCCCAACAUAACAAAAGGGUAGUGAAAUCCUGUCACUCUUGGUCCGUGUAGGAAUAACUGAAGGUGUUGCUCCCGGAACGGCAGGACUGAACACCUCUCUAACCUUAUACAACCAGUUCUCUUCCCAGCUUGUCUGCAAUCUUCAAGAGGUGGCUCAAACCAAGCUCACUCUCCAAGGACAGAUCGAUUCCCUGGCAACAGUGAUGCUUCAAGACCUAUGGGGACUGGAUUUUCUUACAGCUAUAGAGGGUGGCCUUGGGUUUUAUUCUCCAGCAAGAAUGCUGCUUCUAUGUCAACCAGUCAGGUACAGUAAAAACCAAACCUCAACGACUCCAAACAGACCCCCAAGAACACAGAGAACAGCUUGAUGCCUCUGAUCCCUGGGUUUUCACAAACCCCAUAUGGAAAUGGAUACUGCCCUUCCUAACCCAUCUUCUUCUCAUUUUUCUGUUUUUAACUAUUUGUUCCCUGGUUCAUUAAUUUCUUCUCUACAGUCCUCCAAUGACAAAUUCAAAAAAGUUCCAACCAACCAAUUAAUCAGUUCCUUUUUACAUGAUUACCAACCACUGUCCACAGAAGAACCUGAUGCGACCGAACAUUGAAUGAGUCUUGAUGGUGAGGGUCAGCUACACCCCAAAAUUAACAACACCCCUAGACAACAGGAAGCAGUUUAAGAGAUCCGAUGCCCCUAUUCCCACUUUACAACCGGCCCGUCCCCUUUUUUGAUUCUCCUCUUUAUGAUUAGGAAAAGAGAGGAUUGCUGACAACUAGGUACAUCCAUGGACAGCUAGAAAUGAUUUCGCAACAAUCAGGCAUCUUUACAGCCAGCCCUCGAGGGACCUAAUGAUGAGACAUGUCAUCUCUAGCAGCUCAAGAGGAAACAGCGUUGCUGCUGUCUGUCUCUUUGCACAUGUGCCACGGGCCCAAUAAAAGCCUCGUUCUCCCUGCCCCCUUCUCUCCUCUCUCCUCCCUCUCCCAGAGGCUGCCUCUAUUUCCCCUCCUAAUAAACCUCACACUGAGACCGGCUGCAGGGCGGAGAUUUGUGAUUUGUUUGGGACCACUUAAUUCUAACACCUGUGGUCUCUGUUUCAACAUUGGCCCCUCCUUUGGCCUACUCUGUCUCUCUUCCACUCUGACAUCCAUGACAUCCAUAGUCUACAGGCAGCCUCCUUCUCUCCAUGGAACUCUGAGGAGUCGUUUACUGCCUCUUCCCCUAGGACGCCAGCUCCACCAGGACACAGAAUAUCUCCUUUACUGCUACACACCUUCCCCUUAACCCGUGGCAGAGAUAAAAACAAAUGCAUUGGAAUGUAUGCUACCGUGCUCCCCACAGUGAUGAUAAUGGACUAAACCUCUGAAACUGUAAGCCAGCUCUAGUUAAAUGCUUUCUAAGGGUUGCUGUGGUCCUGGUGUCUCUUCACAGCAACAAAACACUGGCUUAGACACCUACUGCACAGUACCCCCUACAUCAGGAUCAUCUCUUAAUCGUGUAGAGUAGGAGCCGGCUUGACAUGAGAUCAGCUUCCUUGUUUCCCAGUGGGGACAUUCUGAAGUUUGUUCCAGAGGGUUCUUUCCAGAACUCAGACCACAGAAUCCCUUGCCAACCUCCACACCGACUUGCCUUGUUCUGUUGUCUCCUUUAACCCUUAGCAUGGCUUUUACUUUAUUUCUCAAUUCGAUGACUUAUUUGACAUCUUUGUUUCAGGGUCUGCUUUUAAAUGAACCCAAAUUAGGAAGUCACAAUCUGGGUUUGUGUACUGUCCCAUUAGUAGUGGGCUCAUGAGUUUUAUGUUAUGGAAUGUAAAAAUACUUAGCAUGACCCAGACAUAGGAAGUCCAUCUGCUCUGGUACUCCCACUUCCCCGUUUUCCUCCGCUGACCACCAGCAUCUGGCUAUUUCAGUCAGCAUUUAGAAUCUAGUCUGUUUCCAAUUCCUUCUGCACUUGGCCAUUUGUGUUUGUUGCUUCUGCCUGAGUAGCCUGUCAGGAUCAUCCAUGAGGCCCCCACCCAGGUAUCCCUUCCUCAUGGGGGUUUUGGGCUCUCCAGACUUCCCAUGAUCCUCUUGCAGUUUCCCUCAUGACACUUGCCACAUCACCCACUUCCUGAGGAUGAUAAUCUGCUCAGGUGUGGGUCCCACAAGGGCCCAAGCACACUGGUGCAUCGUGAGGCUCACUGGACAACCACAGGCAGCAUGUUCCUUUAACCCUGUCAUCCAGGGCAGCAAAUUAGACAUGCUGAUUAGACAGAGCUGGGAACACCAGUGGGAACGGUCUGAGAGAAAGUCCCAUUGUACCCCAGGGCAUGCUCGUUAGCAACCUGGGAGGAAGCAGAGGCUGCCAGUCAGUCCGUGGCAGUGGAGGCUUCUUGGACACAGACAUGAGCUGUCUCUUCGGUCUAUAACCAACUGAUUAUCCAGGAGAGGCUGCCUCUCAUUUCUAAGUGGACAACCCCACUGGUUUAUAAGGUGUUGUGCUCACACUUUCAGGGUAUGUAGAGGUUCAUACACGAACCACCAUCACACUCAACGUCCAACUGUGGCGUAGCUCAGUUCCUUUCCAAUUUGAGUUCACAAUAAAAAAUACAACAAAGAUUUCAAAGGAAAGGGAACAAAAGCUGAGGUCUUCCUUUCUGUGAGCCAACAGAGCACACAAAGCCACACCUGGAGUUACUGCUCUGGAGGGAUUCAGGAGAAAGCCAAGCCCCCAGGGGGGCUCCUCUGAAAUGUAGAUUCUAAUGCGGGAGGCCUGGGCCUGUCACAGGAUUCUGCAUUUUAACCAGCUCCUGUAGUGCCAAAGAUCUGAGUCUGUGUACUGUCCCAUUAGUAGUUGACACCCUACUUUUCAAAUAUUCUUAAGCCACUAAAAUUUAGGUGUCUAAACCAGGCAGUAGGACGUGCUUUCUUCUUUUCUUUUCUUCUCUUUUCUUUUCUGUGAUUUCCUUCUAUCUCAGAGUCAUUCCCCCCACCCGCCCCCCAGGGGGAAUCAGUGGAAUGAGUAGCCUUCACUGUGUUAUUAAAUGACAGCCCAUUGGAGAACUCAUCAAGUAGAGGAGAGCUGGACAAAUUAAGUGUGUAGACUCUUCCUUUCUCCUGCACUUUACAAUAUCCCCUGACUGCAUCCGCCAAGCAAGAAUCAAGAAGCUCCUUCAUCGUAAGGUAGAUUGUCCGAGGGUGCGGGUCUCACAAACACUAGUGCACACCACCCACAAUGGCAUAGUGAGGCUGGUAUCUACGGCUUAUACACGGUGGUUGCUGUGUGGACAUUCCGAGUCUGUGCAGAUUAGACCAUGGAUGGCUGACCGUUCUUCCCAGGCUGAAGCUGAUGCAGUUUUCCUGAACUUCUUUUUUUCUGCCUUUGAGAGCAAUUAGCAGCGAGUUAGUCUUCAGUAACUAUAGCUCACGGAGGGGCCAAAGGUAUAGCCAUGAUAGAUUGCUCCCUUAAAAUACUCUGCCAUGUUAAGUAAUCGCCAUGGAGGGAAUGUGAACGAUGAGCGAUAGAAUAAGUGUUGACUCAAUGUAACGGAGUUCAUGAAAUCUCACUUAGGUUAGAUACUUUGGCAAGAGAGUUUGUAAAGCUUUUUAAUUCACAUGACAGUUGAGUGAAAACAGUUUUGGAUUUCUUCAGGAAUUAUUUGGAGGUGGGGAUGGAUACUGGAUACAUAAUGAAUGUGACAUGUCAGUUGGGUGGCAGUAGCCUGUCCUCUCUGUGACACCCACCAGCGGUAGGUGUGGUUAUGUUUGAUGAUACUGUCUGGCAGACAGUGGAGCCUCAGAGGUAGCUUUGUCCAAAAUUCUUCAAUCUUACUGCGUAUCCAAUACAGACCACAUCAGGAGCUCUGUGGGAAGGUAUAACUCAUGCCAACUUUUAAGGGGAUGGAGUGGGUCUGGCUAGAGUUGGGCUCCAGCCAUGCAUUAGCCCAACUGUUUGUCUUUUUGGACUUCCAAGGAUGAAGGAAAUGUCCCUUAUGUGUGGAGCAAUGAAGUAUAAUCAUAGCUGCUGUCUGACUCAAGCCCUUGGAUUAUCUUUGACUCUUUAGUCUCUCUCUCUCUCCCCUUCUAUGUGUAUGUAUGUGUGUGUGUGUGUCUGUAUGUCUGUGUGUAUAUGUCUGUUAGGAGGGCAGAGGAAGAUAUCAUGUACCCUGUUCUAUCUUUCAUUCUCUCCCUGUUCCUUCGAUACAGGGUCUCUCAAUGGAUCUGGGGCUAGGCUGGCCGCCAGAAAACCCCGGGAAUCCUCCAGCAUUCACCUGCUCUCGGCACUGGGGUUAUAGAUACGCAUGGCCACACGGAGCUUUUCCUCUCAAAGAUCAGCGAGAUAAUUUGCAAGCAAAAUCUCAGCGCUGAGAGACAGGUUAGAGAAGGAUGUAGAAACCCCACAGGCUGGGCACUGAGUUGGUGAUCGAAUGGAAAAGGUAUAAACUCUCAGGGGACUUAGACCCAGGCCCUGAUGUAGGGAGUUACUGGGUAAAGGUAAGCAAAAGCAAUUAGUUUGUGUGUGUGUGUGUAAGCACACACUUAUGAACUGGUGCAUUUUGGGUUCAUCUAGAUGAUCUUAAGAAUAUGUUUUCUUUGAUGUAAAUUGGUGUGUGUUUGUGUGUGUGUGUGUUUGUGUGUUUAUGUGUAAGCACACACUUAUGAACUGGGGCAUUUUGGGUUCAUCUAGAUGAUCUUAAGAAUAUGUUUUCUUUGAUGUAGAUUGGUACCUAGCAGCCAGUGAUGGGAAAACGCCUCCUCCAUACUCAGCUUUGUCACCCAACCUCUUGUGAAGACAGGAUGGAGCCCAGAUAGAGGCCUCCUGCUGACUCCUUGUGCAAAGAGAGGAAACAAGGUAAAUAUGAAGUUUAAGUCAAUAGUGGUACUUGAAUGCAGAAGAUGAAACUGUUUUCUCCCAAAUUGUUUUGGUUGCUGCCAGCUGUUGCUGUUUGGUAUGAAAUCCGGUCAGAUAAGCAACAGCUGAGAAAACACUCGUUGCAUUAAAGACGCUGUAAUUGGCAACUUUGUAACUCAGUACGGUGGGCGAUCUCAGCUGGGAGGAAGGAGGGGUGUUGGAUAACUUGUAAUCUAAUUUUCUUUGUUGUAAAGUAGAAUGUCGUUGCUGUAUUCCUGUGGACUAGUAAUUAUAUCAAACAAGGCCCUUGUCCUAGGUGCUCAGUAGGAAUAAGGCUCAGCCUUGUAAAUGGGGGUUCUGGCUUGGUUGCAGUCCCUAAACUGAAAGCCAGGCUCUCCACUCAUCCACCCUACAGACAUAGAUGGUUUUGUCUCUCCAUGAGCCCGGCACCCCAAGAGACACUGGGGUGCCUUCCAAUUCAUUAUAGGAUUUUGAAAGCUUCUGCAGAGUUUAUGGUGAUUGAGG